rnacentral:rRNA from 1 species
AUGCACGCUGGCGGCGUGCCUAAUACAUGCAAGUCGCGCGAACGGACGAGAAGCUUGCUUUUCUGAUGUUAGCGGCGGACGGGUGAGUAACACGUGGAUAACCUACCUAUAAGACUGGGAUAACUUCGGGAAACCGGAGCUAAUACCGGAUAAUAUUUUGAACCGCAUGGUUCAAAAGUGAAAGACGGUCUUGCUGUCACUUAUAGAUGGAUCCGCGCUGCAUUAGCUAGUUGGUAAGGUAACGGCUUACCAAGGCAACGAUGCAUAGCCGACCUGAGAGGGUGAUCGGCCACACUGGAACUGAGACACGGUCCAGACUCCUACGGGAGGCAGCAGUAGGGAAUCUUCCGCAAUGGGCGAAAGCCUGACGGAGCAACGCCGCGUGAGUGAUGAAGGUCUUCGGAUCGUAAAACUCUGUUAUUAGGGAAGAACACAUGUGUAAGUAACUGUGCACAUCUUGACGGUACCUAAUCAGAAAGCCACGGCUAACUACGUG